GGGGGGGGAAUGAAAAUUUCGAUUCUUGUAUGGUAAAUGUAAUUAACAGGACUCGCGUUGAUUUUUUGUUUUUUUCUUUUAUACUCAUCGUCAAUCAACUCUGACGAACGACAGAAGUGAAUUUUCGAUGGCUCGCAUCAUCGCCACGUGAACUUUGAUGUAAUGAUUGUUCGGUCUUUUUUCGAGUAGUGGAUACUCGUCGAGGAUGUUUCGUUAUUUUCCAUACAAUUUAUUGAUUUCCUGCUUUCGAGUUGUAAAAACGCAAUUCAAUUUUUUUCCUGUCUUCUUGGAAUACUCGUUUACCCUUUUGAAGAACAGUUGAAAUAUUUUUGUGUAAUUUAUUCUUCUGCUUCGAUAACAUUCGUUCUUGAUCCUCUUCCGGGAAGAAAAAAUCAAGAUUUUAUUUAAUCUCCGAGGAUAGUUUCUCUGUCUCGUCGUGGAUCGAUAGGAAUUCUAAGGUGAAAGCAUUCGAAAAUGCGUUUCAAAUAGAUUUUCAUCGGGUCUAGGUCGACGACGAACAACAGUUGCACCAUCCUAGAGUAUCGAAGGACGAACAGUGUGGAAUGAAGAAUUUUUCUUGGCGAACGAUGGUGUUGCAAGUCUGCAAAUAUGUGGACGAUCGUUCGUCACUUUUAAAACAACCUGCACGAACCAUUUACAGAAUGUAUUGAAAAAUUCUUGUAUCAAAUGACUCACUGAUACGUUGUUCUAUCAGCUGAUAUCGGUCAUCAAAAUAUAGAAAUAAUUUCCAAAAAAUUGUGAUUACACUUUAUCGCAGUUUUCAAGCUUUUGGAUGAAUCUUCCAAUAAUUCAGAGUUCUUACUGCGUAGCAAUUAGUUAUGUGAUCCACGUACACUCGUGAAGUGUUUAACAAGGUAUCGCAUGCAUUAUACAAAUGGCAUUGAAUGGAACUUGCAAUUCGAAGAACUUGCAAUUAGAAUGAAUGGAGAAUAGAGGGAAGAUAAAGAAAUGAAGAAAAAAAAUUUCUAUAGGCUCUCCAUGAUCUUCUCAGGUUAAUAGUUAUCCAUGACAUUGUGAAUAAUGCAAUUACAGAUGAUAAAAAAAGCGUAAAUUAAUUGCAUAAAUAUGAAUCAGUUCCAGGCAAUGAUGCAUUAUUCAAAUUCCAUAUGUUUGUCACACAUAAAUUAUUUAAGUAUUUGUUAAGAAAUUCUCGCGGAGAUCAAUUAAUUGGGUAAUUUGUUUUCUUCAAUUAGCUUGAAAUUUGACAAUUCAUGCAAACGGAAAAGAUUUUAAUUGAUAUUAAUUUAAAUGGUAACUGGUUUAUCUUUCUUUUGGUAACAGGAAAAUAUUUGUAUAAAUGCUGAAAAUAAAAAUUUAACAGGUUCUAGGAUUAUUUAAAAUUGAUGCAAUAAAUCUUCAGUCAACUUCAAUUUAUGAACACCUUCAUGCUACAGUGAUUUUUUAAACUGUUUAAAAAAAAAUUCAUGUUUGCAAUGAAUUGGUGACAUUUCAUGGAAUUUGGGUAUUCAGAUUCUUUAAAUUAUCAUAAAUAAAUGAUACGAUCAGACAAUUGUUUGACAUUCGAUGGCAUUGAACAGAAGUUUUGUUGUACAAGAAACAUGGAAAAUCAUCGAAACGACUAUGUUGUUCUUACUUUCAAAGUCGAUGUUGCAAUUGUUACGAAGACUUGCUUGCUUAUGUGCAAAAUUUCAGUUUACAGGGUUUCGUGUCGUAAUUGUACGAUAAUAUAUUGUGAACAUGUGAUUUAGUGAAUCACAAAUUAGUGGCACUUUGUAACAUCGCGAAAUCGUGAAGUAGUGUUGGCCCAAUUUUCAGAUCACGAACCGAUUGUAUAUGUGAUUUUGUGAAUGACAACACGAUACCAAUUAAUUUUCGAAUCACACCGCGCUCUUAUUUCAAACUUCACGCAUCACAACGCGGUAUACCGACCCACUUUUUCAAUUAUAACAAUGCUACUUUUUAAAUCUUCACAUCGCAACGUCGUGUUAUUUCAACUUAUAAAUCAUUUUCAAACUUAUAUUUUCAUUUAAAUUCAAAGUAGGUUAAUGAAUUACUCUUUUCCUCCCCAAAAAAGACUUGUUCCAAUUUCCAAAACUUUACGUACCAUGAUUCUUAUUUAAACCAACUUCGAUCCCUUGUGUUUAAUCUUCGAAUUCUUCAACAUCCACUGAUUCGUAUUCUUUCAAUCUCUCUCCCUUUUUCCUCGUUCGAACAGAGGAAACGAAACGAUUGUAUCUCACAAAAAUUCUACCGUUUGAUUUGUCACGUGACGAGAAGUCCCGAAAAACGAAAUCUCCUGUUAGCAGCGGCAACUUUCUCGGCAACCGAAUUCAUCAUCUGGGCCAACGAAUCGUUCUGACGCUUUCUCGAGUAUCUUCCGACAAAAUUCACUUCUCCCUCCCUUUUCCCAUAACGUUUGCCGUGUAUUUUUCGUUUAUCUUACGUUUUGUCGCGUGAAAUCUCGCGUGGAAUGAGGACAGACUCUGAAUUUGCUCCUUUUUUUUUGUUUUUUAAUUUAGAACGUAAACGAUCGUUAUCGGUUGUUAGCGGUUGUGAUUACCAUUGAAAGAAACUUGGUUCCACGUGGGGUCCCGGCAACAGAAGCUACGAGACGGGAUGUCGUGAUGACCGGAUACGAUGAACGGUAACUCCGAGACUAAUUCCUCACCACCUUCAACGCUUGAGUACAAAAUGAAAACGUUCUUCUGAUCGUUGGAUAGAGUGGGGUAGAUCGAUCCACGUUCGAAAUCAUUUCAUUCUUACGAUCCAUAAUAAGGUGUUAGAAACAAAAAAAUACUCAUUAUGAGAGUAUGUCAUUAAUGAGAUUCUAAUAAUGAGUUGGUAAUAAUGCGAACUGAUUAAACGAUAGUGCUAUCGUUCAUUACUAGGAUAAUGUGUAAUCAAUACGUUAAUCAUCGCAAUGAUGUUCAAUUAUUAAUUACAAUUAUCCAGGAGUUGAUUAUUUUUCGAAAUGAAUAGCGUUUGUAAGGUUGAUUGCUCGAAGUAAGAAAACAAAUUCGAGUUGAAGAAAUUGUGAUACUUGAAAAAUUUCCUUCCCCAAAACAUUCUCGUCGAGAUAAAUGUUAAAAAUAAUUUAAUCAUUCCGCUAAUCGAACACUCUCUUCUCUGUGUAAGAAAAAAAUAUAUUCUUAUAAUCUUAUGAUGUUUCUCAAUGGUGGUUUUUGGUCCUAUUUUAUGGGAGAUUUUGAGAUAAGACUUGCCGAAAGUUUCGGAGGAAAUGAAAACACGGAACCGGCUUUUUUAUUCGCGUGCCAGUCGAAUCGAAUUUCGAAAGUAAAUUGGAUAAAUUAUUUUACAAAUUGGAUAAUCACGUGCCAGACUUUUGGUUUUUAUCAAUUGGAGAACAUUACGAGUGGACUUUAGCUCGAACAAAGAUACGCUUCUAUUCAGAGGUUGAGAAAAAAAUAAAAGUAACGUGAAAUGAAAUAACAGGAGAUGUAAUCAUUGUUUGAGAAGCAAUCAUUUAUCCAAGGCAACAACAAUUUUUCUAAUAGAUUUUGAUGAGACAUUCUUAAUGGAGAUGCAGUAGUUUACUCGAUUCCUGUUAUUUUAAGAAACAAGAAUUUUUUACUUUCUUGCCUUCUUUGAUACCAAUUUUGUACAAAUUGUUUUAACCAAUUAAUUUUUGCCAACAUUUUCUUUUGCACUUCGGUUCGAUGAAUUGAAACACGUUUGUAGAACCUUGAAACAGAAAUAAAGUAGGGAGAAAUAGUCGUAUGAAUGAGAAUUAGUACGAAUUAGCAACAUUUCCAGUUACCCUUACGUGCUUCUUCGAUUUGCCGAAGCAAUUAACGCACCACCGCGGCUAUCUCAUUGUCACCCUUUGAAAUUUACAUUUGAACAGUUUCUCUGACGAGAUUUCUAGCCGGUUGCUUCGUUAAACAAUCGUCGUCGAGAGGAUUUUUACACGUGGAACUUUCUGUUUCUCGGUAAGCGUGACGCUGAAAAUUGCAUAGGUACUUACUAAUGUUUCGCAAAACCAUUUAUUAGAGAUUAGGAAGGAUAUUGCGAAUAAAUAUUGCACCAUCUUUCGUUCAAACGGAAUUGAAAUUGUCGAGAAUUGCUUUUACCAGCCUUAGGACAAUUUUUUCUUGGGAUGAGCCAGGUCCGAAGAAAAUUAUUAGAAUUAUUAGAAUUAUUAGAAUUUUGGAAGCUUAGAAUCUUAGAAUUUUAAAAUAGUGAAGGAGCCAGUCCCUAUUUUGAGGGAGGCCCAAGUCUUCCUUCUUUCGUCAACCCAUAGCCAUGGUAAUUCAUUAAUUUAAUUAUUUUUUGAUGUUCAUCGAAAAAAAAAAGUGAAAAUUUUUAGGUCAGUUUCAAGAAGAAUAAAAACACAAUAUUGUUUCCUGGUUAUGCGUGAGCUUUCGUUUAUUUGAGAAAAAUAUUAUUUACAUUGCACAGAUAUAUCACUAGUAUCAUUAGAAACGAAUGGACAAUCGAUCUUUUCGAAAGCUCCUUACAUCGAAGUCCUUUUUUCCAAAAAAAAAAAAAAAAA